rnacentral:tRNA from 3 species
GGCUCCGUGGCGCAAUGGAUAGCGCAUUGGACUUCUAGUCAAACACUGGAGCAGUGAUUCAAAGGUUGUGGGUUCGAGUCCCACCGGAGUCG